rnacentral:misc_RNA from 1 species
GAUGAAGAACGCAGCGAAAUGCGAUAAGUAGUGUGAAUUGCAGAAUUCCGUGAAUCAUCGAAUCUUUGAACGCACAUUGCGCCCCCUGGUAUUCCGGGGGGCAUGCCUGUCCGAGCGUCAUUGCUGCCCUCAAGCCCGGCUUGUGUGUUGGGUCUCGUCCCCCUUCCCGGGGGGACGGGCCCGAAAGGCAGCGGCGGCACCGCGUCCGGUCCUCGAGCGUAUGGGGCUUUGUCACCCGCUCUGUAGGCCCGGCCGGCGCUUGCCGAUCAACCAAAACUUUUUUCCAGGUUGACCUCGGAUCAGGUAGGGAUACCCGCUGAACUUAAGCAUAUCAAUAAGCGGAGGA